rnacentral:sRNA from 1 species
GUGCCGUUCACGAAGGGGAUGAACCGCUUCUUGCCC